rnacentral:rRNA from 1 species
AUACGUAGGUGGCAAGCGUUGUCCGGAUUUACUGGGUGUAAAGGGCGUGUAGGCGGAGAUGCAAGUCAGGAGUGAAAUCUAGGGGCUCAACCCCUAAACUGCUUUUGAAACUGUAUCCCUUGAGUAUCGGAGAGGCAGGCGGAAUUCCUAGUGUAGAGGUGAAAUGCGUAGAUAUUAGGAGGAACACCAGUGGCGAAGGCGGCCUGCUGGACGACAACUGACGCUGAGGCGCGAAAGCGUGGGGAGCAAACAGGAUUAGAUGCCCUGGUAGUCCACGCUGUAAACGAUGAAUACUAGGUGUGGGGGGACUGACCCCCUCCGUGCCGCAGUUAACACAAUAAGUAUUCCGCCUGGGGAGUACGAUCGCAAGAUUGAAACUCAAAUGAAUUGACGGGG